UACGUAGGCAGCAAGCGUUGUUCGGAGUUACUGGGCGUAAAGGGUGCGUAGGUGGCUCUAUAAGUAUGGUGUGAAAUCUCCCGGCUUAACUGGGAGGGUGCGCCGUAGACUGUGGGGCUAGAGUGUGGGAGAGGAAAGUGGAAUUCCUGGUGUAGCGGUGAAAUGCGUAGAUAUCAGGAGGAACACCGGUGGUGUAAACGGCUUUCUGGACCAUAACUG
rnacentral:rRNA from 1 species